rnacentral:rRNA from 1 species
AUGGCGACGGCGCAUUCGAUCCGAUCCAUUCCCACACUUUCCCAGCCCCCGCCACCGGCGUCCGCAGCUCCGACCCCGCCCCCUUUCAGUACUCCAAAUCGCUUGCUCGAACCCUCCUCCAUGGGGCACCGCGAUAGGGAGAUCGGCUCCAAGCGAGCGAAGCUCCCGGCCGCCGACGGCGCAAGCGAGGACCGCCUCAGUGCGCUACCCGACGACGUUCUUAUCGGCAUCCUCCUCAAGCUCUGCCGCACCGCCUACGCCGCUCGGACCAGCGUCCUGUCCCGCCGCUGGCGCCACCUCUGGGCCCUCCUCCCGGAUCUCGACUUCACCGGCGACGCCGACCACCACCGCAUACUGCCCGCUCUCGCCGCCCAUCAAGCGCCGGUGCUCCAGGGCCUAGGCGCCUUCGUCGACGACAUCUCUGCCGACUCCGUGGCGGCCUGGCUCCCCAUAGCCGCGCGCCGCCUCUCCGGCUGUAUACUGCUUUACAACGCUGUACCGCAGAACCAGGCCAGGGAAAGAUGCGUCUUUGAGCUGCCACGCUUCGAGAGCACCACCUCUAUCGUGUUCGACCUAGGAUUUCCUGGCCUUGCCGUGCCGCAUUCCAGCGUAUUCACCCGCCUCGUCUCUCUCUGGCUGUUUCGUGUCCAUCUGCAUGGCCCGUGCGGGCUUGGUGAAGCUCUCUCCUCACGCGGUGCCCAUCCUUACGAGAACUCAAGAUACGUGAUGCCUGGGGUCUGGAAUUAUGUCACUGUGGUGAGUCAACCCGUUGCAAACAUCUCAGCCCCUCAACUGGAAUCACUCCACUGGACGGAUGCUUAUGAUCCAAGCUCUGUCCAGCUUGGCGAGAUGGCACAUCUCCAACGUCUGGAUACUGGUCACUUUUUUGUGUUUGGACAUUAUUUGGAUGACUACACACCCAAUCGCUAUUGCUUGAGACUCUUGCAGCAAUUUGAGGUCAUGCACCAUUUAAAGCUCUCGCUCAUCUAUCUGCUGAACAAAGGUCACCAUCAAUACCUGAUGGAGGACAUGACAAGGCUCCCUAACAUUACACUCUUGACCCUGGAUGUAAUGACAAAAGGACAUUCAUUUGGAGCAAGCUUAUUCCAUAUUCUCAGGAUGUGUACUGGUGUAAGAAAGUUGGCUCUUGUCUUUCUCGGAAAACCUAGCAAUCUGGAGGCACAAGUUACAUGCCCAUCAGGUUGCAUUUGUGAUCAACCCCUAAACUGGAAAAGCGAGGAACUCAUAUUAAAUUGCCUCCAAGAAAUAGAAAUCAAUGGGUUUGGAGGAACUGAACAUGAAGUUGCUCUUGUGAAAUUGUUAUUCAAUUGGGCAGCAGUGCUAAAAAAGAUGACAAUAGCUUUCCAUUACUCAAUUCCUAAAAGGAAGGCUGAGGAGUUGGGCCGCAUGUUACUAGGCUUCUCCAGCCCAGAAAUAUUGAUGGACUUUUUGCAUAUCAAGUAUUCUCGAGAAGGCGCACGCUCCACAAGGCUCCAACUUUACUACCGUUCUUUUCAGUUUUUAGAAGCUUCAGGUGUGGAAAAUCCUAAUGCUGGCAUGUAG